rnacentral:rRNA from 1 species
UGCGAAGGGGGCUAGCGUUACUCGGAAUUACUGGGCGUAAAGGGCGCGUAGGCGGCAUGAUAAGUCAGGCGUGAAAUUCCCGGGCUCAACCUGGGGACUGCGCUUGAGACUGUUGAGCUAGAGGAUGGAAGAGGGUCGUGGAAUUCCCAGUGUAGAGGUGAAAGUCGUAGAGAGUGGGAAGAACACCGGUGGCGAAGGCGGCGACCGGGUCCAUUACUGACGCUGAGGCGCGACAGCGUGGGGAGCAAACAGG